rnacentral:lncRNA from 1 species
CGGCCUCUACGGGUAUCCACACGAAGCAGAAAACCGAUCCAAGCUUUCUAUCUUCCCGGGGUGCUAGCUCCCUUGCAGAGAUAACUUUGAUGGCUGAUAUCCUCCCUUUCAAUCAAUCCUUGAUUGUGCUUGGGAGGAGGAAGAAGAAGGAUGAAGAGAAGAAGAGGAACGAAGCCCUGCAGCCUUCUUUUUCUUCCUUGCGUUGGAACCAAACGGUGGAGGAAGAAGGAGGCCACCAAGAUCCUUUUUUUCCCUUUAUUGUUGGUGGCUGAAAAGAGAGGAGAGG